rnacentral:pre_miRNA from 1 species
CUCCUGAGAAGUUUCCACAUGGAGCUAGGCCGUUGCUGAGAGUUUUGAGUCGGUUACUGCGACGCAUCGGCCUUUCUUCACGUGUGGAACUUGGAG